AUGCGCUGCGGGGGCUGUCGACCGCGCUGCACCCCCGCUCCCCUGCCCGGCCCCGGGGCUCGAGAGCCACUUACCGCUCGGCCCGGCUUCCCGGUGCCGCCGCGCGUCCGGGGUGGGUCCGCCGCGCGCUCUCCCUGGGGAGAAAGAGAAACCGUGUGGACUGUCGGCGCGCGCUCACUCGCCGCCUCCUCUGCGGAGAACCGCGGGCGGCGAGGCCGGGCCGGGGCGGGCGCCGAGCGGAGGGGGGCCCGGGGGAGGUGGGGGCGGAAUCUGCCCAACUCCCGAGCCCAGCUCCGAGGAGGACCCGGAAGGCAGGCUGGAGAGCAGCCGGCGGGGGCCGCGCUCCUGGAGUGGGGGACGAGGGUGCCCCCCGUCCCCGAGCAUCAACUAUUGUCUGGGCGUCCGGGUCCCCGCUCGCGCCGCCUCCGAGGCUCAGCGCCCCCCAUCCCACCCGCCUGCCCCCAGGAGAAAAAGCUGGGGGGGCGGGUAAAGCGUGUUUGGGGUGGCUGGGGGUUCGGGAUCCGGAGGUCGGAGGGGGGCGCAGAGAAAGGGGAGGUGCGUGCUGAGUGGGGGAGGGGACAGGUAACUGCCGACGGGGGUGGGAAGGCCCGGGAGGACCGGUGGGGAAGGAAAUGGGGAGGGAGCCACGGAGGCGGGAAGGGAUGCAGUGGCUGGGGGGCGGCCUCUGAAGCCCAGACCUGGCCCUCCCCGGGGACCCUCCUCCCGGGAAGUCGGCGCCGCACUGACUUUUUCGCUCACUCGCUCACGCACGCACUGAACUCGCUCACAAAGUUGCCGGCGGUGGCGGCGCCGCACUCGCCCUUCCCUCCUCCACUCCCCUCGCCUCCCCGCCUCCCCGCCCCAUUCCUUCCCCUCCUCCUCUCCCUCCCUCCGCAAGUCUCGGGUGAGAUCACCGCUGGGCUGCUUAGCAGAGCGCGUAAAUCUCGCGAGAGAAGCGGCAGCUCAGCCCGGCCCGCGAGGGAAGUAGGAGUUGGUGGAAGGUGGGCGACCGCGGAACUCCUAGUUGCUAUGACGACGGCAAAGCCCUGGAUUCCUGUCUCCUGCAGAGAGCCAAGGCAGUAA
rnacentral:lncRNA from 1 species